AACGAACGCUGGCGGCAGGCCUAACACAUGCAAGUCGAACGAGCGGCGGACGGGUGAGUAAUGUAUGGGAAUCUGCCUGAUGGAGGGGGAUAACUACUGGAAACGGUAGCUAAUACCGCAUACUAUCGGAUGUACCCAUAUGGGAUUAGCUAGUAGGUGGGGUAAAGGCUCACCUAGGCGACGAUCCCUAGCUGGUCUGAGAGGAUGAUCAGCCACACUGGAACUGAGAAACGGUCCAGACUCCUACGGGAGGCAGCAGUGGGGAAUAUUGCACAAUGGGCGCAAGCCUGAUGCAGCCAUGCCGCGUGUAUGAAGAAGGCCUUAGGGUUGUAAAGUACUUUCAGCGGGGAGGCGUUACCCGCAGAAGAAGCACCGGCUAACUCCGUGCCAGCAGCCGCGGUAAUUC
rnacentral:rRNA from 1 species